UACGGGGGGGGGCAAGCGUUGUUCGGAAUUACUGGGCGUAAAGGGUGCGUAGGCGGGUCUUUUAAGUCAGGGGUGAAAUCCUGGAGCUCAACUCCAGAACUGCCUUUGAUACUGAGGAUCUUGAGUUCGGGAGAGGUGAGUGGAACUGCGAGUGUAGAGGUGAAAUUCGUAGAUAUUCGCAAGAACACCAGUGGCGAAGGCGGCUCACUGGCCCGAUACUGACGCUGAUGCACGAAAGCGUGGGGAGCAAACAGG
rnacentral:rRNA from 1 species